rnacentral:lncRNA from 1 species
CUUAAAGGUAUCUAAACAAUGGGUUCUAGAUUUGAUCUAAUCAAAUCUGAUUCUAUAGGUUCACUAGAUUGUAUCAAUUCUUCUACCUAUCAAACUUCAUCAAGUUUAACUUUAGAGCUUCAGUUCUUUCACUAAAAAAUUUUUUUCUAAAAAAAUUGCCUUAUUGUUGACGAACAACUUUUAUUCUUCAGCAACGUAGAAGUAAUAUCCUUUAGUUUUUUUUGGAUACCCC